UACGUAGGGUGCGAGCGUUGUCCGGAAUUAUUGGGCGUAAAGGGUUCGUAGGCGGUUUGUCGCGUCGGGAGUGAAAACUCAGGGCUUAACCCUGAGCCUGCUUCCGAUACGGGCAGACUAGAGGUAUGCAGGGGAGAACGGAAUUCCUGGUGUAGCGGUGAAAUGCGCAGAUAUCAGGAGGAACACCGGUGGCGAAGGCGGUUCUCUGGGCAUUACCUGACGCUGAGGAGCGAAAGUGUGGGGAGCGAACAGG
rnacentral:rRNA from 1 species